UGCUAUGGAAAGGACAUCAUU
rnacentral:piRNA from 1 species